rnacentral:rRNA from 1 species
GAUGAACGCUGACAGAAUGCUUAACACAUGCAAGUCUUUGGCGAAGCUGUGCUUGCACAGCCUAGCCAAGGCGGACGGGUGAGUAACGCGUAAGGAACUUGCCCUGCAGUCAGGGAUAACAGACGGAAACGACUGAUAAGACCUGGUAAAGUCAGGCGGACUCAUGUCCAGCCUGAUGAAAAGAGAUGCUGCAGGAGAGCCUUGCGUCCUAUUAGCUUGUUGGUGGGGUAACGGCCCACCAAGGCGAUGAUAGGUAGCCGGCCUGAGAGGGUGGACGGCCCACAGGGGGACGGGAAUCCGCCCUUAACCCCACCGGAGGGCGGAGGUGGGAAUUAUGGAACAAUGGGGCCAACCUGAAUCAGGCAUUCUGUGUGGAAGAAUAAGGUUUUUGGAAUUUAAAGUGCUUUCAGCAGGGAAGAAAAAAAUGACGGUACCUGCAGAAGAAGCGACGGCUAAAUACGUG